rnacentral:ribozyme from 13 species
AAGAAAGGAAAAAAGAAAAAGAAAAAAGAUGUCAAUUGGUUCUGUUCGUUCAUCUCUCUUUUCUGUCUCUCCUUUUCUUCUUCGUUC